rnacentral:misc_RNA from 1 species
GGGGCAGCAAGUUGGUGAUAAAAAUGGUGGCAUCUCCACGGCAGAUACGCCGCCAGUGUUUGCCUUGGGGCAGCAAGUGAGUGAUAAAAAUGGUAAUGUGAGUGCAGGUGCAGCACCUGCGAGGACUGGGAUAGCAAGAGGUGGUGGAGGUGUGCAUGUUUCAGAUGGGAGUGCCACAGGGCGUUUACCAAAGAAGAGGGGAAGGCCAAGAAAAUAUCCCUUACAAAGUUUUUAGUCUGAUAUGGACUGCAAUUUGGUGAAAAGAGACAGAUGAGAAGGUGAAGGAAGUUUUAUCUCUGUGUUGAUAGAGAUAUAAGAAGGCUCAAGGAAGAGGCUGUUAUUGCUGCCACAGUAUGGGAUGUCCAUAGGUAUUACUGUUGACUUGUAUUUAUUGUUUUUUUCUCUUUUCUUAAUUAUUGUUGUUUGUAGAGUUUAGAUGCUUUUUCUUGUGACUGACUUGUUAAUUUAAGGUGAUAUGUGGUAAUGUCAUUUUGCCAAGUUCUCACUAUGAAUUGAAGAAUUGUGUUUGAUUCAAGGCAUUCUAAAUGUGCCCAAUUUUUUGGUUUACAGGGUGGCCAAAUGGGCCGUGAGCAUGGUAGGCUACACAUCAAUGUUUGUCCUCCCUUUUUGUAUCUUUUAUCAUAAAAAUGAAAACUUCUACCAUAUUAGUGGAUGGAAUUCAAAUUUGAGAAACUCCUACUCUCCAUCUUCUUAAAGAGGAUUAUGAGAAAAUCAACCAGGCUAGGUCUAAUUAUUUGGAAAGUGCAUAAUUUGUUCUUUGUUUAGCCAAGUAUGUACCUGUUUUACUUGAAAAUUUAUAAGUGGAAAGAGAGAUUGGAACUUCAUACUACACAUUCUCAAAGAACGUAGUGAGGAAAUUAAUAAUAAUUGGUACUAAAGGUGCAUACUUUUUUUCUUUGUUUUUCCAAGUAUGUACAUUUUCUAGUUGAGGAUUUGUGAGCUCGAAAUCACCGUGUUGGUGUUCGCAUAAUUUGGGUUUAGAAUUGGUUAUUGUAUUCAUUAAUAAUCAAAUGUUUAUCCACCGAUUUCUCUUCACUCUUCCCGCCAGGUAAACAUGGAAAAAGCAAAGGCAGUAAUGAUACCAAACUCUGUCUAUUUGAUCGCAUAAUUGCCUUAUCAAGCUCCCUAAGCUCAUCAUUCUUCUUAAUUCGCUUGUUUACAAACACCGAAAACUUCCUGCUUUGCUUGUACGCCGUCAGCUUCACCUUCUUCCUCUGUCACCAUCAAACAUCAACAUUUACGCUUAUUAAAUACACAAAUUCUUGUGGAAUUUGAGAGUGAGAGAGGUGCCUUCUCGAUGGUGAUGGAUCGCGCGAGUCCCAGGCGGUGUUCUUUGCCCUUUCAUCUUUCUUGUUUAGGAUGUCGAAUUUGCAACUGGACCAAAUGGCCUUGAAAGGGGUUGUCUUUUGGAGUCUUGAGCUUCAUUGCCACGGUGCUUGGACCGGACUUUUUGUUCUUCUUGUUCUUCUUCUUGGCUUUCUUGUCACUGCCGGCUCCUUUCGCUGUCUUCGCCAUUGAAACUGUGCCAAAGGAGGGGGACAAAGAGAAAGAAGGAGCUCUGGCCGAGGGUUUAGGGUUUAGAGUAGUUUUUUUUUGCUCGGUUAUGUCGUCG